UUUGCAUUGAAUCAAGCAAAGUAGCUGCAGAUUUCCGGUGCGGAUCUGAAAUGUGUGUGGGCUCAGGACCCACAAGCUAAACGCAAUUCCUUCCUUUUGCGCCGCAUAGAUUGGAGGUUCAGGGAAGCCUUCGG
rfam:Erinaceus europaeus unplaced genomic scaffold scaffold00454, whole genome shotgun sequence